CAAGCCUACAGGGACACUCAUUCAGAAUGCACACCCAGUCCCUAACAACGUGCAGCUCUGGGACUACCUGAGCUACAGAUGGCUUUUCUGUGUUCAGUAAAAGACAGACAGCAGACACGUGACAGAGAAUCCUUCAUUGUUCGGCAAAGUUCUGUCACACAUUUGGAACCUGCCAUGGUGUGGGAAGAUUUUGACACUACAUGAAGCAGUGCUGUAACUGAAGAGUUCAAUUCCCACAGAAGCUCUCCAGAGUUCAGUAUCUUUAUUGCUCUUCAAGAAGAUAAAAAGCAAACAGCAAAGGAAGAGGGGAGAGGGAAGGAAGGUCCAAAUCCCUGCUGCAAGGUCAGGCACUAAUACACCAUCAGACUGGUAACAAAGAAACUCAGAGUUAACAUGUCCCUGAGUGAGAUCAUGUACGUUCCACUAUAUCCUGUCUCCUUUCCCUAUCUGUCCCUUUGUCUCUGCACUGACUUCUGACAGGCCAGACCUACUAAGACAUAUCUGACACAGCCUGCCCAACAAGGAAUGCUGUAUGGGAAUUUGGCCAUCAUCUGAUGAACACGCCAUUCAUCCUUCCUCGCUUUCACCUUUACUCCAUCUCCAUUUGAAAAUGGAUUCCAUC